rnacentral:lncRNA from 1 species
GUUCAGCAUAAUUUACUUUUUAUUUUUAUUAAAGCAAAAAGGUAAGAGAAUCCUAUGCAUUAUUAAAAACCUUAUCAAAUAAAACCCAAUGAAAUAAAACUUUGAUUAAGGAAAAGGAAAAAGAGUGCACAUAUAACACAAUGAUUCAAACAUAAAUAACCGAAUAAAUAAAAGCUCCAACAACAAUUUUGGCAGUGAAGAAAUGCAAGAAAUAGUCUAAUAACCGAUGGGAUCACUUAAAGUAGCUCGAGUUUCUAAAACUUGUGCCUCCUGUUGAGUGAUAUUCUCCAAAACAGCUUCAGAGGAUAUCAAUUGAUGUUUUAGAUCCUUCACAUGUUCAGUCAAGAUGUGCUUUGAGUCCAACAACUUUUGCAAUGCUGCUUGAGAGACUUGUAAACCAGGAAACAUAACACGUUUUUCAACAACAUCCAACCAUUCCUUAUCGAAAGGAAAUCUGCGCGCAUCUUGUAAUAAUUCAAUAAAUUCAGAGCGGCUUGAACCUAACACAUCCAACACACUAUGGGUUUUUCAGAAAAUUUCAAAGCUCAGCUAGACAGUCGUAGGCAUAACCCUUGUAUCUAUUACUCAGUGAAAUGUCCUUUAAAUGAAGGAAGGGUGCAAACAAAGAAAUCAAUUAACAAAGACAAAUUCUCAGAAGCCAAAUGCUUCUCGGAGACUAGCUGCUCAAGCUCCUUCGUGACAAGCAUAGAAGAACUUAAAUUUUCUACGUUUUUAGAUGAGUUCCCUGAAAGUAUAGGAAAUAAUAAUUAUACUUAUUUAAAGGGCACAAAAUAGUUACUCAAACAAAUGAAUCAAUAAGAUACCUUAGAAGGUAUUGAAGGAAACUGAUAUGCAAUAGAAGAGGGUUUUGAUUUUGAAACUAUUAUAUCAUCUUCCUUG